rnacentral:rRNA from 1 species
AACGAACGCUGGCGGCAGGCUUAACACAUGCAAGUCGAGCGCCCCGCAAGGGGAGCGGCAGACGGGUGAGUAACGCGUGGGAACGUACCCUUUGCUACGGAAUAGCUCCGGGAAACUGGAAUUAAUACCGUAUGUGCCCUACGGGGGAAAGAUUUAGCGGCAAAGGAGCGGCCCGCGUUGGAUUAGCUAGUUGGGGGGGUAAUGGCCUACCAAGGCGACGAUCCCUAGCGGGUCGGAGAGGAUGAUCAGCCACAUUGGGACUGAGACACGGCCCAAACUCCUACGGGAGGCAGCAGUGGGGAAUAUUGGACAAUGGGCGCAAGCCUGAUCCAGCCAUGCCGCGUGAGUGAUGAAGGCCUUAGGGUUGUAAAGCUCUUUCACCGGAGAAGAUAAUGACGGUAUCCGGAGAAGAAGCCCCGGCUAACUUCGUGCCAGCAGCCGCCGUAAAAC